GUGAGUGCAUGUCGGAAAAUAGUGCGGACACACGCCUCACAACGCGAGCGGGCCCACACGGCAGAAAAAAAUGAGAGAAAAGAAAAAGACCCAAUCUGUCUGGAGGAUAAUCAGAUCGUGUGUGUGCGUCCUUGAGAACUUUGGUGAGAGCCGAAGGUGGCGAUGCUGGUGUCCGGGUGGUGGUGUUCCCUUCCUAUGUGCUGUGUCUCCCCGUUUUCAUUUGCUGUGUUCACUGUUGUGUGUUCACGGGUGACUUUCCCUGGGAUCCCUCACUGCCCUCGUACUCCCGUCUCCUCCACUGGCAGCGCUGCGACCAUUGACUUCAAGGCACCUAACCCUAACCUAUAUCCAAGACACAUAUGAAGACACAUGAAUUUGUUAAAAUAAAAAACCUCCAGGUACCCGGUCACACACUCCUUUUUUCAAUAGAUAUAGACUCAUUAUACACAAAUAUAGAAACACCACUUGAUCUCACUGCAAUAAAACACAUUUUUGAUAAACACCCGGACCCAUCCAGACCUGACAGCCAAAUUUUACAGUUACUCCAUAUCACACUUACCAGAAAUGACUUCACCUUCAACACUAAACACUAUCUCCAGUUAUGUGGGUGUGCAAUGGGCCGGAAGUAUUCCCCGUCAUACGCAGACAUCUACCUGGCCCAUUGGGAGGAAACAGCGUUUCAUAAACUCAUCAUCAAACCUCUGCUUUAUUUCCGGUACUUGGACGACAUCUUCGGCCUCUGGGACAACACCGAACAGACUUUUUUGACCUUUCUGGACAUACUUAACUCACAUCACCCUAAAAUAAAACUCAAACAUAACCUACAACCCAUUACAGUGGAGUUCCUGGACACACAGGUCUUCUUCCGCACCUCCAACGACCAGACGAAAACACUAGCCACCAAAGUGUAUUUCAAGUACACCGGCCGCCAUGCACUUCUCCAUAAGACCAGCUAUCGCCCCAAACACACGUACAGAGGCCUCAUUAAGUCCCAGCCGAUACGCUUCCACAGAAUUUGCACCUUCCCAGAGCAUGUGGAGGAGGCCACUAGUACACUUUUUAGUGCGAUGAGGUUGAGCGGUUACUCGAGGCGCUUCCUUAGAGGUAUAAAGGCGUAGGUCAUCGGCAAGUUUACAAACAAAACAGAAACCAUCAUCUAGCCGUCCGAUUCCGCCCUUGUUCCCCUGGUGAUUACCUACUCGGAAAAUUUUAAGGAAUUUUUCCAGGGGGCGGGUGUUGGUUGUGAUGUCCUGAGGGACUGCCGUAUGAUCUCCGCCUAAAGGAGGAAUAAAAAUCUAAAAGAUAUUUUGAUUCACACAAACCUAAACAAGAAUACUGACCCUAGGGAAGCGCUUCGAUGCUUGGAUGUUGGUUUUAUGAGUCUCCCACACAUUUUUAACCCUUACAGCAGAGUUGGUUUUAACCCGGGGCAGGGGCCUGCCACAAAUUGUAUGUGGGGGAGACAAGAAAUGCACUAUACUUAAGAAUCAAACAACACCAGUAUAUUUUAAUGCACAUUUUAAACUCCAUGGCUCUCAAAAUGUUCAGAGCAUGGGCCUGGAGAGCAACAGAGCCUGGACCACAGCUCAGCGUCGGGCAGCGGAGAGGAAGUGGAUCCAUCUUUUAAAAACCAUAGAACCUACGGGUCUAAAUGAAAAACCUUUCUUUUCUUUUUUUUUUCAAUCCUUUUCUAUUUUAAAUGACUUUUUGUUGUUUUAAUCUAUAUUUAUGAUUAAUAAUAACUAUUUGUUGCAAUAUUUUUUUAUAUUUACUUUUAUAGCAUGUUUUUCUCCGAUUUUACUAUUCUUUCCUUUCGGGGGUUAAUCUCUUCCUGCAGAGGAUGUCCUACCUAAUAUUUUAAUUUAAUUAUUUUAAUAAAUAUUUUGAAGAUGCCUUGGUUGUCCUUUAUA